rnacentral:rRNA from 1 species
AUGCUGCAGGAGGAUGGGGGUAUUGAUGAAGAUGUGAACCAUCGAAUCAAAGCCGGAUGGAUGAAGUGGCGCCAAGCUUCUGGCAUUCUCUGUGACAAGAGAGUGCCACAAAAGCUAAAAGGCAAGUUCUACAGGACGGCGGUUCGACCCGCAAUGUUGUAUGGCGCUGAGUGUUGGCCGACUAAAAGGCGAUAUGUUCAACAGUUAGGUGUGGCGGAGAUGCGUAUGUUGAGAUGGAUGUGUGGCCACACAAGGAAGGAUCGAGUCCGGAAUGAUGAUAUACGAGAUAGAGUUGGGGUAGCACCAAUUGAAGAUAAGCUUGUCCAACAUCGUCUGAGAUGGUUUGGGCAU